rnacentral:rRNA from 1 species
GACAGAGGGUGCAAACGUUGCUCGGAAUCACUGGGCGUAAAGGGCGUGUAGGCGGGAAGGAAAGUCAGAUGUGAAAUCCCCAGGCUCAACCUGGGAACUGCAUUUGAAACUCCCUUCUUGAGUACCGGAGAGGAAAGUGGAAUUCCUGGUGUAGAGGUGAAAUUCGUAGAUAUCAGGAGGAACACCAGUGGCGAAGGCGGCUCACUGGUCCGGUACUGACGCUGAGGUGCGAAAGCGUGGGGAGCAAACAGG